CAGUAGCCGCGGUAAUACAGAGGUCUCAAGCGUUGUUCGGAUUCAUUGGGCGUAAAGCGCGCGUAGGUGGCCAUUUAAGUCCGCUGUGAAAGUCAAAGGCUCAACCUUUGAAAGCCGGUGGAUACUGGAUGGCUAGAGUACGGAAGAGGCGAGUGGAGUUCCUGGUGUAGCGGUGGAAUGCGCAGAUAUCAGGAGGAACACCAAUAGCGAAGGCAGCUCGCUGGGACGUUACUGACACUGAGGCGCGAAAGCGUGGGGAGCGAACAGGAUUAGAUACCCCAGUAGUCCCUGUCUCUUAUAC
rnacentral:rRNA from 1 species